UAAGGAGGGAGAAGACAAUCGAGAGAAAGAAAGAAAUGGAGAGGUCCCUGGCAGAAGGACCCCAGGAUUCCCCCAGUUACUUGGGGGUUCAGGGAUCACUGACUGGCCCCCAAAUCCAGACUGUGGACCUCUCUGUGGUACUAUUUGCCCCUCUCUCUGGCCAUCCUUGCCUUGGACAGUCUUUCUAUAAGGAGCUCAAGCCUGCCAGGAUGCAGAGCCAGGGUCGCUGGGGAGGCUGGAACUCACUGCCCUGAACUAAUCCUUCAUUUCAGGCUCCCCAGCCCCGCUGAUUGAGUCAGACAAUUAACACAGCCCUGGUUGGGGUGGACCACUGUGUUUAUGACAUGAUAUGGGCUCCAGCAGACAACAUUAGCCCUGACUUUAUGGGGAUUUGUUCAGCCUAUUACCAUGACUCAUACUCCAGUAAUGAGAUCUCUCUCUUCUGGGAUUCAGCACUUUGCUGCUGGCAUCCUCCUUCCUGCUUCCCCCGUGGCUCCAUUUCCAUUUUUUCCCCAGAAUUUCCUAGCUUUCCUCUUGGCCUCAAACUCAUUUUGGGGUGGGGAACAGGAAGUGGUCACUGUAACUUCUAACUUGCAAAGUAUCUGAGCCCCCGCCGCCAGAGCCACAUGUCUAGACCAAGCCUAGAAACAAGCAAUGAGAAAACAUACAAUAUGAACAAAAUUGGGCGUAUUUUUUAGGGAGAUAGGAAGGAAGGCUUGGACCUGCUACCAAGACCCGAGAUCUGAAAUGAUGCUAAUAUCCCUUUAUCCUCCAUAAUCUAAUCUAGAAUGCUUGAGGUGGAAGAGAAGCUAGAGACAAUCCAGAAUCUCAGCAAAUAGAUGGGGGAAGCUAAGGCUUAAAGAGAGGAAGAGACUUGCUCAAGAUCUCACAAGCAAAGAAGGGAAGAGAAAGAACCAGAGAGAUGUUUAACUUAUCUGCCAACCUGAUUUGGAUACUUUCUAAUGUCCCUUGAGUCCAAGGGAAAAAAAAAGAGAUCUCUGAGGAAAAAAGAUCCUGCUCCCAAGACAGACCUGCAGUGGUCUGCAACUGGGCAAGAUACAAACAGACAGCCAUUUCCGCCAGAUCUGAUUGUCAGCUCCUUGAUAACUGGUAUCACAUGGACAUCCUCCAGUUGGGCUCCCUCAUUCAAAGCCUGGCUCUACAUUCACAAGCUGUAUUAUGUUGAGAAGUUACAAUCGAAGUAGAACCUGUUUCACCAUCUGUUAAAGGGGGGAAAUACUACCAUCUACAUCAUGGGGUGGUAGCCAGAAUCAAAUAAGAUGAUAGAUGAGAAGUGCUGGCUCUACCCUGCUAUCUAAUUCUUGUCACUUUCUGGCUGAAAGGCAAUGGGGCCAGCAACCUAGGUUUUGAAGUUUGCUUUACUCAUUGGAAAAAUAAAUGUAACACUCAACCCUUGGGAACAUCAUAAGAUAGUAUAAUACUGUGGUUCUAAGUUCAGAUCCUGGAGCCAGACUACACAGAUUCAAAUGCAAGCUGCCCCACUUACUAAUGUAUGGCCUUCAGGCAAAUUACUUAAAUUCUCUUUGCCUCUAUUUCCUUAUUUGUUAGAAAAUGUUAUUAUUACCUAUUCCAUAGUGCUCUUGUGGGGAUUAAAUGAGUUAAUUCAAGUAAAGUACUUAGAACAGUUCCAGACACAGAGUGAGCUUUAAUAUAUGUUAACAAUUAUUAUUGUGAUUUCAGUGAGAUAGUACGCAUGAAGGACAUAGACACAUGGUAGGAUUUCAUCAUGUGGUAAUCCCCACUCAGGAGAUAAAAAUCCUUCCACUCCCAGAGUUAAAGUCUAUCAAUAGAGACAAUACAUUGCAAGGAAAUGGAAUUUUUAUCUCCUAUAAUCUAGGUGAAUGCUUAAUACCAUCAUUACUAAGGAUUUACUUUUCAUUUGUAUUUCUUACACAUCAAUAUUUUGUUCAGGAGAGCACCAGAUCAGGAACUUGCGAAUUCAUCAGAUAGAAAACUUUUGUUGUUUCUAAUGAGGAAACCAAUUCUUCAAGCCUUGUUAGAAUUGCCAAACAGGGUUUCCUGCUGGGCAGCUUCAUUUACUUGGCAUCUCCUACUGAGAAACACCAGUACCAUUCACAGAUUGGGAAAUGGAGAAGACAGACAACUGAAUGAGAAAUACCAACUUAAAUGCUGAAAUUUGUCACCACCUUCCAGAGAAUAGGAACAGAUCGUUUUUUUAAGAAAAUGAAUUUCAGGAGUUAGGCAAAUUCAUUGCAUUUAUAUCCUCUGAAAAUGUCAGAGCUAAACAAUGAAAUUUAAGAGCUCCUACAGUGGCAAAGCUGCAAUUGAUUGAUAGCAGCUGCUGGGAGCAGUGAGGAGAGAGUGAUUCUGAGGCUACUUCCUAGUUCAGUGGAAAAGUACUAUAAUCCAUUAGUGAUGCCUGCCAUGGCCACGGAGUUGGACAGUGUUAGACCAACUUGCCAUAUUCUUUCUGUUUCUGAUCUAGUCAAAAUUCCUAAUGCUACAGAUGUUUUCAAAUUCCCUACAUUGGGAAAAGAAGGGUUUAGACUACGUUCAUUUUGAAAUGCCAUUAGUACAUGCAAAUUUACUGAGACGUAAAGAGUUAAAUAAAUAAGAAUGAUUUGUGUAUUCUUGGCAAGCAAUUGGAAACUGCCAAACAGAUUUUAUAAACUCUUGAAUAAUGAUGUUAUUUCUUGGAUAGUUUAAACCGUCUUUUCCCCAUCCCCAUUGGUUAUUCUGUUUUUAAUCUUUACUGCCUAGGAAACCUAUUAAAAAUAGGCUGACACUUGUUUAAAAUCUUUACUAAUUCUAUAAUAGUAAAGUGUACAAAGAAAUUGAAUUUUACCAAGAAUUUGGGAAUAAGCAAAAUAAGCUAGCAUGAGGUCACCACAAGAAAAAUAUAUAUGGCCGGGUGUGGUGGCUCACAC
rnacentral:lncRNA from 1 species